AUUGAACGCUGGCGGCAUGCUUUACACAUGCAAGUCGAACGGUAACAGCACUUCGGUGGCUGACGAGCGGCGAACGGGUGAGUAAUACAUCGGAACGUGCCUAGUAGUGGGGGAUAACUACUCGAAAGAGUAGCUAAUACCGCAUGAGAUCUAAGGAUGAAAGCAGGGGACCUUCGGGCCUUGCGCUACUAGAGCGGCUGAUGGCAGAUUAGGUAGUUGGUGGGAUAAAAGCUUACCAAGCCGACGAUCUGUAGCUGGUCUGAGAGGACGACCAGCCACACUGGGACUGAGACACGGCCCAGACUCCUACGGGAGGCAGCAGUGGGGAAUUUUGGACAAUGGGCGCAAGCCUGAUCCAGCAAUGCCGCGUGCAGGAUGAAGGCCUUCGGGUUGUAAACUGCUUUUGUACGGAACGAAAAGCCCUCUUCUAAUACAGGAGGGUCAUGACGGUACCGUAAGAAUAAGCACCGGCUAACUACGUG
rnacentral:rRNA from 1 species